rnacentral:tRNA from 1 species
GGGAGCAUAGCUCAGCUGGUUAGAGCACUUGCCUUACAAGCAAGGGGUCGCAGGUUCGAGUCCCGCUGUUCCCACCA